CAAAUAUUGGGACAUAUAAAAAUGACAACUCUGUUCCGCAGAGUAGCUGUUGACAUUAUAGUUGCGCAGGCACUUUGUUGACUCUAGAGAACCUCGGACCAAUCGCACAUCCCUGUGACGGCGACUUUGCAUUCGGAUGUCAUCCAUAUAAACUUUCGAUGCCAGUUUCUGCGCCUACCAUGGUGACCACGGGUAACGGGGAAUCAAGGUUCCAUUCCUUAUAGGGACCCUGAGAAACAGCUACCACAUGCAAGGAAGGCAGCAGGCGUGCAAAUGACCCACUCCCGACGCGGGAAGGUAGUGACG